GAGUCUUCUUUUUGAAUGUAGUAUGUUUUUUGUUAGGUGCACACAAUUCAGCCCGCUUUUCAAGAUGGUUAUCUGGUCUACGCACCUAGUGGAGCAGGCAGGCAGUGGAUUUAUGUUACUGUUUAUUUUAUUAACCUGUUGUCAUGUUUGGGUCGCAUGUCUGUGAAGCUUUUGUUCCCUGGUACGCGAAAAGACUGCUAGGAAGCAGCGUGCAGGUUUACCUGUUCUAGAAGAAAACUCUUCUUUGGAGGUUCAGCUUCUGUCACUGCAAGAUGAGCCAAGAAGCGCUGAAGCUCCACCAAGUUUGGAAGUUGGUCAACCAAAACUUCUGUCAGGAAGCUGCGCAGCUGUCAUACAUCAUCAUUAUCAUCAUCAUCAUCCCAAACAUUCACACAAAUGCAUGAAGAAAGUGUGAGAAGACUUUACAUUGGAUUGAGAUCGAGAGGAGCCAGAUGAGGUGGUUCGGGCAUCUGGUCAGGAUGCCACCCGAACGCCUGCCUAGGAAGGUGUUUCGGGCACAUCCGACCGGUAGGAGGCCACGGGGAAGACCCAGGACACGCUGGGAAGACUAUCUCUCCCGGCUGGCCUGGGAACGCCUCAGGAUCCCCCGGGAGGAGCUGGACGAAGUGGCUGGGGAGAGGGAAGUCUGGGCUUCCCUGCUUAAGCUGCUGCCCCCGCGACCCGACCUCGGAUAAGCGGAAGAAGAUGGAUGGAUGGAUGGACUUUACAUUGGAUUGAGAUUUGGACUAUUUACAGGCUAUGACAUUAACCAUGUGUACCUUUCUUUAAGGAAGGUUUUUAAUGAACAUCCUCCAAGUCUGGUGAUUCCAUCAUUUUUGCAAGGGGUUGUAGUAUACUGAGGUGUAUUGUACUAAUAUAUUGCAAAGUACUUAAUGUACUACUGUUUUUUCCACUGA